rnacentral:sRNA from 1 species
AUUAUAGUGUUCAAGGUCUUUUCCCACUUGUGCCUGCACAAUAGUGGGAAAAUGACAUUGAAACACGCACCAGCAUGAGCAUAAAAGGAAAGCGCAGACUUUACGAUAUGCGAAUGGUGGCAUAGGAUUGCGGGAGCGCAUCGCACGCAGCAAUCCGUA